CAUCAUUGAGGUGUAGAGUGAAUCGCUGCGGAGCUUUCAAAUCUGCUUUCCAUGUAAGUAAUCCUGCAGAGGAGAUAUGUGCUCCUUCUGGACCAGAUUCCAAUGUAAAAGCGAACUUCAGAGCCUUCUGGGUCCAAGGCCAUGAACUGCUCUUCUUUGAUCUCUUGAGAAGAAAGCCUAGACCACACUACAAGAAAUCCCACUGAGUUGUUGGUUGGGGAAACAUCAAAUGCACACCUACAGAAAAGCCUGGACUCAAUCACUUCCACCACAACCUCUGGCCUUCCGGGAGGUGAAGGUGGCGAUGCGGCCAAAGACUGACCUAGUGGAAGAAAAUGCAUAAUUUGUAAAUUAAAGAUUUUGAAGAAUGAAGACUGGCUUAUGGAAAAAGCAUAGAAAGAUUAUAACUCUGGGCCACAAGUGUGUAAUUUUGUAUCAGAAAUAGCUGCAAAAGGAUACCUGACAGGUUCAGCAAAGGCGUUUUACGGCAGAUUAGAAGGAAUUUAAAGAGCAGGAAGCAGCAAGAAACAAGACAACAAAAACAGGACGCAAGGUCCGAGACAAGAGGAGGCUGUAGCCAUCCGCAUGCAAAAUAAAGCCAAAGAGCAGCAGAGGAAAAAGUGACCCCUCAAAAACAGCGGGACCAGGAGAAGAUGAAACCUGCCUCUUCCUAGAUUUAAGUCAAACCUGUCUCGGAAUUUCCUUGCUUGGAGCCUGUAGCUGAAGGGAAAGCAAUCACUCGUCAGCAGAGGGCAGUGUGGAGACACCUAAUCUGAACCCCAGGGUUCAGAUCACAUUUUUG
rnacentral:lncRNA from 1 species